rnacentral:rRNA from 1 species
AGUGAACGCUGGCGGUAGGCCUAACACAUGCAAGUCGAACGGCAGCACAGGAGAGCUUGCUCUCUGGGUGGCGAGUGGCGGACGGGUGAGGAAUACAUCGGAACCUACUUUUUCGUGGGGGAUAACGUAGGGAAACUUACGCUAAUACCGCAUACGACCUACGGGUGAAAGCAGGGGAUCUUCGGACCUUGCGCGAUUGAAUGAGCCGAUGUCGGAUUAGCUAGUUGGCGGGGUAAAGGCCCACCAAGGCGACGAUCCGUAGCUGGUCUGAGAGGAUGAUCAGCCACGCUGGAACUGAGACACGGUCCAGACUCCUACGGGAGGCAGCAGUGGGGAAUAGUGGACAAGGGGCGCAAGCCUGAUCCAGCCAUACCGCGUGGGUGAAGAAGGCCUUCGGGUUGUAAAGCCCUUUUGUUGGGAAAGAAAUCCAGCUGGUUAAUACCCGGUUGGGAUGACGGUACCCAAAGAAUAAGCACCGGCUAACUUCGUGCCAGCCGCCGCCGUAA